UUAGAUUUCGUUACAUUGACAGAGAUAGGAAUUCUAAUAAUGUCCUGGAAAAUCAUAUGUGACUUCAUGUUCCAAUUGAACAAUUGCUUGAAUGUCCCAAAAGCUUCUUAAACAAGAUACCUGUGAAGUAUUUUCCCCUUGCAUAAGACGUAUUAGGCUCUGAGGCAUGAUUAUAGGUAUUUCUAUUUCCUAGACCUUAUUCUUGUGUUAAAAUUAUUUUUUACUUUACAAAAUACAAACACAGUUAUAAACGCCUUUGCUGAGAAACCAUCAAGGGAAAAUUGACUGAACUUUUUUAUGCAUGCUCUUUUCCGUUCUUCUCAUAUUGGAAGCUCGUAACCUGAUGGUAU
rnacentral:lncRNA from 1 species